CAUUGCCAGAGAGCUAGUGUGAUCCUUUGGUAGUGUCACUACAUUCAGAUUUCUCAUGGUGCUAGAAUUCUUGUGUGGGUCCUUCUCAUCUGGAGAUGCUAGCACUUCUAAUUUGUGUAAUUAUUUUUGUUUGGGUAGGAUUUUUUCUUUUUCUUUCCUUUUCUAUAAUAUUAUUGUUAUUUUUUUCUUCUUUCCCUUUCCCUCCUCCCUAGGGGUGUGGCUGUAGAGCAUGCUGGGUAGGGUCUUUUGGCUUUGCUUCUGUAGCCCUAAUGCACUUCUGCCAGCAGGUUUUAUAUUGGGUGUGUGGUUUGACCUACAAGCCAGUAGAUGGCGCCAUGGGUAAGAGCUGGCUGUUGCCAGUGCUGCUGGCUGUGUACUUGAUCCUUGUUUAUUGGGAGGAGCUCUCUCCUGCCCCAGGCAAAGGGCUGAUUUCCUGAGUACACAUUAAUCUGAGCUCCCUCAGCCCUAGGGGUAGGGGGAUUGGGGGCACAAGAUGGGUGGAGCCAGAUAGGGAAGAUUCCCCCAGUGUUGUCCUGCUCCCAGUCCAGGUUUGGGACAAUGCCGGCAGCGUUUCCCUGUGUCUUUCCCCCACAAAGUCUCCAAGUCUCUCCUCAAAUGAGCUCCAAGGCUUGGGAGAAACAAUCUCUUCCUCUGCCCGGGUUGCGUGGAUCUCCAGUGGAAAGGUGAGACAGAGGGAUGCUGUCUGCCUCUCUCACUUACUGAGGCUUCACUCACUUCUAUCAGUCGAAUGCUGUCCUGAGGGCUGCUUGCCUGCAAUGUCCUCCGCAAGAUCUGGGAUGUCCUUCAUAAUUCCGGGGAAUUGCCAUUUCCUUUCUUGAAUUAAAGCUCACAGAGUUGGUCUUUAUGUACUUGCUUGCUAUUUCCAAAUGACUGAGGCAUGCUAAAAGCCUGUAAUCUGCCAUCUUGGAAAAAACAUCCUUGCAUCCUUAAGAGAAAUGGCACUUGGUGUUGAUACAUGGUGUUUCUACAUUGCUGAAUUCACUUUGAAAAUAUAUGUAUAUUUUAAAAUCUACAUUUAUAUGUGAGACUGGUGUAAAAAUAUCUUUUAUUCUACUGUAUUUGUGCAAUUUUGGAAUCAGUUAUAUUAAUAUACUAAAUGAGUUGGCAAUUUUUCUUUUUUACUAUUAUCCAAAAAAAUUAUAAAAGACAUAAUUGUUGCUUUCUUAUAGAUUUAGUAAAAACCUCAUCGUGUCCUUUUGUGGAGCGAUGGUGAGAGAUAUUUUUACUGUAAAUGUAACUUGCGUAUUUUUCACCUGUGAGGCAGAGGUUGCAAUGAGCCAAGAUUGUGCCACUGCACUCCAGCCUGCGUGACACAGCAAGACCCUGUCUCAAAAAAAAGAAAGAAAAUCAACUUAAAAUGCACUCCUUGAAUAUUUCUGAGUGUAUUUUUAUACCACGUAUGUUCCUUGAACUAACUUCUUUUCUUUUCUAGGAAGAACCGGAACUAUGAUUUGUGCCUUCCUUAUUGCCUCCGAAAUAUUUUUAACUGCAGAGGAAAGCCUGUAUUAUUUUGGAGAAAGGCGAACAGAUAAAACGCACAGCAGUAAAUUUCAGGGACUAGAAACUCCUUCUCAGUAGAGACAAGGUUUCACCCUGUUGGCGAGGCUGGUCUCAAACUCCUGACGCCCAGUGAUCUGCCCACCUCGGCCUCCCAAAGUGCUGGGAUUACAGGCGGGAGCCACCAUGAUGGCCAACUUUUGAAUUCUGAACCAGUUGAUUGAGUACCAGAGCUCUUCAAUACCUUGAAGAAAGAUUCAGGGGAGAGCCGUUGUGAACAGCUUGCCCCAGGGAAAGGACAAGGCUGAGAGAAUUCCAGGGCUUCCUUGAGAAAACAGAAUUGAGGAAAUGCAAAGUGAAGAAUUCUAGCAUCAGGAACAAGAGAAGAAUGAUGGAAAACCUGCUACUGAGAUAUGUUGGAUAUUUUGCACAAGUGAAACAUCUCUACAACUGGAAUCUCCCUCCAAGACGGAUACUCUUUAUAAUAAGAUUCAUUAUUUAUUCGAUUCGUGGUGUUGGAACAGGCGAUGUAUGUGAUCUAAAAUUCCAAAUAGUAAUGGAGAAAAAGAUACUGCAUGACAUUGAAACAGCUGGUGUAUUAACUAAUGUAUAUGACAGUCCAUCUCUGUACGAUGAUGUGAAAGUGCAGUUUUUCUCUUCGAAUCUUCCUAAAUACUAUGACAAUUGUUCAUUUUUCUUCUGGUUCAACACAUCUUUUAUUCAAAAUAACAGAGAGAAAUUUAGAUAUUUUAUUAAACUUGGAAGUCAUUAAUGCCAUAUAAAGCAAUGCUAAGAGAGUCAGCAUGUGUUACUGAUGUGUUGCUGAAGAUUAAAGUAUUUUUAAGUCUCACCAAAAAGGUGGAAGGAGCCAACUGAGACACAAAAAAGGGGCUGAGGUUCUAUUCACGGCUUUAUCUACCAAGAAAUGAAUUGGAUAAUCCACAUCAACAAAAAGCAUGGAAAAUUUAUCCACCAGAAUUUGCCGUGGAGAUACUUUUUGGCGAGAAAUGACUUCCAAUGACGUAGCUGGAUCCGAUUAAGUAUAGUUUCCCCUUCCCCUUCUGGGAAAGAAUUAAUGUUCUUUCCAACCCCUGCCAUGUGCAUGUUCAUAUGUCCUAAGUCUUCCUUGAUGAUGUAUCUAUAUUUAUAUAUGUUUAUAUAUGUUCUUCAUAAAUCUAUUAAAUAUAUAUAGAUAA
rnacentral:lncRNA from 10 species